CAUCCAUACAUCCAUUCACCCACCCAUCCACCCCUUCAUCAUCCAUCUGUCCAUCCAUCCAUCCAAUGUGUCUUCUUGCAGGUUCUUCAGGUACCCCUGGCUCCAGUGAGAAUUCUACCCCGAAUGUGUAUAAGACUCCUCCGACCACCACUAAGGCCUUGCGCCCACUCUAUACCAGCCCCACAACUGUGACCCAAGCUCCACCCAAGUCAACUGCCGAUGUCUCCACUCCUGACUCUGAAAUCAACCUUACAAAUGUGACAGAUAUCAUCAGGGUUCCUGUGUUCAACAUUGCCAUUCUCGUGGCUGGUGGAUUCCUGAGUAAGAGCCUGGUCUUCUCUGUCCUGUUUGCUGUCACGCUGAGGUCAUUUGUACCCUAGGCCCACGAACCCAUGAGAAUGUCCUCUGACUUCCGGCCACAUCCAUCUGGCAGUUGUGCCAAGGGAGGAGGGAGGAAGUAAAAGGCAGGGAGUUAAUAACAUGAAUUAAAUCUGUAAUCACAGGCUAUUUCUAAAGUCA
rnacentral:sRNA from 1 species